rnacentral:rRNA from 1 species
UACAGAGGCCACAAGCGUUAGUCGGAAUCACUGGGCUUAAAGGGUGCGUAGGCUGGCUCGUAAGUGUUCUGUGAAAGCCCCCGGCUCAACCGGGGAACAGCAGGGCAUACUGCGGGUCUUGAGGCAGGUAGGGGUCGCGAGAACAGUAGGUGGAGCGGUGAAAUGCGUAGAUAUCUACUGGAAUGCCAAUGGUGAAGACGCGCGACUGGGCCUGUCCUGACGCUGAGGCACGAAAGCGUGGGGAGCAAACAGG